rnacentral:rRNA from 1 species
CACCAGCGCCACGAGUGGGAGUCGCAUUUAUUUGGCCUAAAGCGUCCGUAGCUGGUUUGUUAAAUCUUUUGUGAAAUUGUGUAGCCUAACUAUACAACGUGCAGAAGACACUGACAGACUAGGAACCGGGAGAGGUUAGGAGUAUUCUAGGGGGAGCGGUAAAAUGUUAUAAUCCCUAGAAGACUACCAGUGGCGAAGGCGCCUAACCAGAACGGGUUCGACAGUGAGGGACGAAAGCUAGGGGAGCGAUCCG